rnacentral:tRNA from 1 species
AGCGUAGUCCGGUCAUCGCGCCUGGUUUGGGACCAGGAGGUCGCAGGUUCGAAUCCUGCC